rnacentral:lncRNA from 1 species
ACAACCUCACUUGGUUUUGUUUGUGCUUUGUUUUUUAAUAUUUUUUUUCAUAGAUUUUUUUUUAUUUUAUCCUUCUAUAUUUUUAUUAUAGGGGAUUGACUAUCAUUAUUUUUUAGCUCUCUUUCUAUGGUGUCAAGUCAUGGAUUUUUUUUUUGUUCUUUAAAAUCCAAUAAUAGUGUUUGGGCAUUGUUUUUUUACGCGGCAAAAAAAAUUGGCCCGGCCCACAGUAAAAUGCAAGCUAUCU